rnacentral:tRNA from 1 species
CCCCUGGUGGUCUAGUGGUAAGAAUUCUGGGUUUUCACUGCCACGGCCCAGGUUCAAUCCCUGGCCAGGGAA